rnacentral:rRNA from 1 species
AACGAACGCUGGCGGCGUGCUUAACACAUGCAAGUCGAACGCGAAAGUUUUCUUCGGAAGACGAGUAGAGUGGCGCACGGGUGAGUAACGCGUAAGUAAUCUGCCCUGGUAUCUGGGAUAACCCACCGAAAGGUGUGCUAAUACCGGAUACGCUGAGCAAUCAGGAAAGGUGGCCUCUUCAUGAGAGCUACUGUACCAGGAGGAGCUUGCGUACCAUUAGCUAGUUGGUAGGGUAAUGGCCUACCAAGGCAACGAUGGUUAGCUGGUCUGAGAGGAUGAUCCGCCACACUGGAACUGAAACACGGACCAGACUCCUACGGGAGGCAGCAGUGAGGAAUAUUGCGCAAUGGGGGAAACCCUGACGCAGCGACGCCGCGUGGAUGAUGAAGGCC